AACGAACGCUGGCGGCGUGCCUAACACAUGCAAGUCGAACGUGAUUGGGGAGCUUGCUCCUCAUGAAAGUGGCGCACGGGUGAGUAACGCGUGAUAAUCUACCUGAUGAUUCGGGAUAACACUUCGAAAGGGGUGCUAAUACGGAAUAAGCCCACGGAGUCUUUGGACACUGCGGGAAAAGGAGGGGACCUUCGGGCCUUCCGUCAUCAGAUGAGUCUGCGUACCAUGAGCUAGUUGGUAGGGUAAAGGCCUACCAAGGCGACGAUGGUUAGCUGGUCUGAGAGGAUGAUUAGCCACACUGGAACUGUGACGCGGUCCAGACUCCUACGGGAGGCAGCAGUGGGGAAUUUCGCGCAAUGGGGGAAACCCUGACGCAGCAACGCCGCGUGAGUGAUGAAGGCCCUUGGGUCGUAAAGCUCUGUGGGGAGAGACGAAGAAGUUGGAGUUAAUGGCUCCAGCGGUGACGGUAUCUCCUUAGCAAGCACCGGCUAACUCCGUGCCAGCCGCCGCAGUAAGAC
rnacentral:rRNA from 1 species